rnacentral:ribozyme from 1 species
AUCUCGGAACUCCGAUCUCUAACCUCCACGUGGUGCUAGCUGGAUUAUGGUUGUCGCACGUUCCGUGCUGCAAUCAUAAACUAAUAGAGACGG